CAAAAGGCUUUUUCUGUGUAAGAACUCCCCAAAUCACAAUGGAAAAGCUACAAACAAAUACAAACAAAUACUUU
rfam:Anas platyrhynchos breed Pekin duck contig114736, whole genome shotgun sequence.